ACUAGGAUUAGAUACCCUAUUAUUCUAAAGUGAUUUUAGCGAGCAAAAAAACAAUUUAGUAGUGAGCAUGGCGGUUCUUUAUCCCUUUAGAGAAGCAUGUGAUGGAAACGAAUUGGCACGAUUAUCUGUCUUAAGCAAGAAUAGGUCUAUUUUGAUUUCAUUUUGUACACCGCUAUCUGAAAGAUUUAUUAAAAUUUAUUUCUGUUUUCUUUAGAGGGGAGUAAGGUAAGUUUAGGUGCAGAUUAUGCUUAAGGAAUCAUGUGCCUCUGUGGAUUAAAAAAAUUAGGUUUUUGAGGAAAAUGAAUUUAAUAGUAAAAAAAAUUUACUAAAUUUUUUUGAAAAGGGGUUAUGAAGAGCGUACACAUCG
rnacentral:rRNA from 1 species